GGGGAUACUUCCCCCGAUGGUUCCCAACGGGAUGGGAUUAAUAGGGAACACGGUGAGGAUUACCCAUCAGGGGCCAAAUCCGUGACUGCCCCCGCAACUGUGAGCGGCGAGACCCGGUCGUAUGCCACUGACUGCCCUCUCCACGGGGUGAAACAGUCGGGAAGGUGACCGGUUCCGUGACCCGCAAGUCAGGAGACCUGCCAUCGCUCGAGCGUCGCA
rnacentral:ncRNA from 1 species